rnacentral:rRNA from 1 species
GAUGAACGCUGGCGGCGUGCUUAACACAUGCAAGUCGAACGGAAAGGCUCCUGCUUGCAGGGGUACUCGAGUGGCGAACGGGUGAGUAACACGUGGGUGAUCUGCCCCGCACUUCGGGAUAAGCCUGGGAAACUGGGUCUAAUACCGGAUAGGACAGUGGUUUGGAUGCCAUUGUGGAAAGUUUUUUCGGUGUGGGAUGAGCUCGCGGCCUAUAGGCUUGUUGGUGGGGUAAUGGCCUACCAAGGCGUCGGCGGGUAGCCGGCCUGAGGGGGUGUAACGCCACCCUGGGACCGAGGGAAGGCCCCGGCUGCUACGGGUGGCCACAGGGGGGAAUAUUGCACAAUGGGCGCAAGCCUGAUGCAGCGACGCCGCGUGGGGGAUGACGGCCUUCGGGUUGUAAACUCCUUUCGCUAGGGACGAAGCGUUAUGUGACGGUACCUAGAGAAGAAGCACCGGCUAACUACGUG